GAUGAACGCUGGCGGUGUGCCUAAUACAUGCAAGUCGAGCGAACAGACGAGGAGCUUGCUCCUCUGACGUUAGCGGCGGACGGGUGAGUAACACGUGGAUAACCUACCUAUAAGACUGGGAUAACUUCGGGAAACCGGAGCUAAUACCGGAUAAUAUAUUGAACCGCAUGGUUCAAUAGUGAAAGACGGUUUUGCUGUCACUUAUAGAUGGAUCCGCGCCGCAUUAGCUAGUUGGUAAGGUAACGGCUUACCAAGGCAACGAUGCGUAGCCGACCUGAGAGGAUGAUCGGCCACACUGGAACUGAGACACGGUCCAGACUCCUACGGGAGGCAGCAGUAGGGAAUCUUCCGCAAUGGGCGAAAGCCUGACGGAGCAACGCCGCGUGAGUGAUGAAGGUCUUCGGAUCGUAAAACUCUGUUAUUAGGGAAGAACAAAUGUGUAAGUAACUAUGCACGUCUUGACGGUACCUAAUCAGAAAGCCACGGCUAACUACGUG
rnacentral:rRNA from 1 species